GACGAACGCUGGCGGCGUGCUUAACACAUGCAAGUCGAACGCUGAAGCCCAGCUUGCUGGGUGGAUGAGUGGCGAACGGGUGAGUAACACGUGAGUAACCUGCCCCCUUCUUUGGGAUAACGCCCGGAAACGGGUGCUAAUACUGGAUAUUCACUGGCCUUCGCAUGGGGGUUGGUGGAAAGGUUUUUUCUGGUGGGGGAUGGGCUCGCGGCCUAUCAGCUUGUUGGUGGGGUGAUGGCCUACCAAGGCUUUGACGGGUAGCCGGCCUGAGAGGGUGACCGGUCACAUUGGGACUGAGAUACGGCCCAGACUCCUACGGGAGGCAGCAGUGGGGAAUAUUGCACAAUGGGCGAAAGCCUGAUGCAGCGACGCCGCGUGAGGGAUGACGGCCUUCGGGUUGUAAACCUCUUUCGCUCAUGGUCAAGCCGCAGCUUUGGGUUGUGGUGAGGGUAGUGGGUAAAGAAGCGCCGGCUAACUACGUGCCAGCAGCCGCGGUAAUACGUAGGGCGCGAGCGUUGUCCGGAAUUAUUGGGCGUAAAGGGCUUGUAGGCGGUUGGUCGCGUCUGCCGUGAAAUCCUCUGGCUUAACUGGGGGCGUGCGGUGGGUACGGGCUGACUUGAGUGCGGUAGGGGAGACUGGAACUCCUGGUGUAGCGGUGGAAUGCGCAGAUAUCAGGAAGAACACCGGUGGCGAAGGCGGGUCUCUGGGCCGUUACUGACGCUGAGGAGCGAAAGCGUGGGGAGCGAACAGG
rnacentral:rRNA from 1 species